GAAGGAAGGAAGGAAGGAAGGAAGGAAGGAAGGAAGGAAGGAAGGAAGGAAGGAAGGAAGGAAGGAAGGAAGGAAGGAAGGAAGGAAGGAAGGACUAUCUGAGCAGCUUCUCUAUUCUUUAAUGAGCGAAGGAAUUCACCCUAGCACUGACAAAUUGGAUAUAUUCUCAGGACCUGAGUUGUCCCUGAUGUGACCUCAUUGACUUCAGUGUGGAAUUAUUGAAUUAUACUUUCCUCUAGGCUGGUUACCAGAAAAAUAGACCACAAGGUUCAGGAACCAGUUAAAAUCAAGAACUGUGUAAGGAUGUUGAAGAAUAUGAAUGGAAGCAACUAUGGACGGUAUUAAAGCUUUGCCCAGAAGUGGCUAUAAAAAGGAUUGAAGCUUUGCCCAGAAAUUUAAGUAGAGCUGAACUGGGAAACAAUUGCCCUUUGCUGAAGCUGUAUCAGAAAUCUUCCAAUCCAAUGCAAGAAAAAAUAGGUCUAUAAUAAAAUUAGGACCCUCAAAUACUACAUCCAGGAGAGAACACCAGAUCUAUUAAGCAGCCAGGGACAGAGUCCUGACAGGCAUUUCCUUCUGCACCUGCAGAGAAGUCAGCCAGCAGAAUGGCCAGAGAUGAAGAGGAUGUUGCCGACUCCCUAUCUUCUCCAGUUUCCAUAGCAGUAGCACUGUGAAAUCCCCUCCGAGCAAGAACAGCUGUGCUGCUAGAAGCUGCAUAAACAAACCUCUGAGUAAGACUGCUCUGUCUUCCAUGUGAGUUGAAGUGAAGCUGGAUGGCAGAAUAGCAUGACAGUGCUCAUCUCUAAGUGACAAAAGAAAUGUGAAGCUUGAUUUAAUAAAACAUGCUUAACGACAGAAUCAUUCAGCCACCUUUCUACCUCAGCAAGACAUCAGUGUUUUGCAGGCACCGUGGCAGAGACAAUAAACUGGUUAAUUCACAUUGUUUGCAUCUGGUGUCUGAGCAGAGAGGAUUUCCUUGGGAACAGUUUUUCAGUUUCUUCACUGAUCACUUAGCUGUGAUCUAGUCUGAACUCACAGCUCCCUUGUAGGCAGAAUCAUCCCUGGAAGUAUAACCAUGACUCUUUCUUCUGGUGAAGUCCUUCUGGUUGGAGGUAAUGGCAAAUAUUCAGACAAGGGCUUAUAUGGCAAAGUUAGGGCCAUCUCAGUGUCAGCAUAUCCACUUUUGAAUAUUUUAAUUGCAUUAAAGCUUUUUCUGGAACAAAACAA